UGCAACCCAUGUUAUAAAUGCUACUUUGUAGCAUUGUAGCUCCCCACCUGAUUUGCUGUUGCGCCUCCUUCAGAAGCCAAAAACAUACCACUUCCACAUUCCAUUGUUAGUCACGGUAUCUUAAAGUGCUAAAGAAAUUCACAAAUCAAGGCAAUAUGUAGACACCAGCAAACAAAACACUACCAACGAAUAAUGCAGAAUAACCAACAACUAUGUGAGCUCUAAAUAUGUCAGUUAUUAGCCAUUUACAACAACAGUACAGCAAAGCAUGCUGGGAAACAGGAAGCUCUGUUGUAAAAACAAUAUACGUAGAGCACACAUUGAGGGCUGAGCGUUUGUUGUCACGUUGCGGGAUGUCGGUGUAGUGUUGCGACCCCAGGAUGCGGAGAUGCAAAUGGACCCAAAAGCAGAGUUUGGCUGGGAGAAGCCGUCCACCGAGGUGGGGGGAACAGCCGUAGCAGGACGUCGCCCACUGCUGGAGGAGCCGCUGCCGUGGCGGCCAAUGUACUUUUAAACUCCUGACGAUCUCACUCCUCCCUGCCUUACAUAGAUCCGGCGUGUUAUUGGGCCAGGCAUGAGAAUGAAGUCCGAGAUACACCCAGGAUAAACUCAGCUUCAAGAAAGAAGAUGCUAAAUGAGGCUCUGUUGAAUUUCAUCCUAAAGGACUGCCAGCACCUCAGCAUUGUAGAGAGCGAAGCCUUCAGGGAACGGUUUCAGGACCUCAUAUGUUUUGCCAAACAUAAAGAUCAACAAACAAAUUGUGGCCAAAAAGUACAAGGAGGAAUGGAUAUUAGUGAAAAUGGAAGCGCAGCAAGCUGUGACUAAACUACGGACGGUGCGGUCUCUACUUCCGGAUCAGAUUCAAGAUCGAACUGUGCGACCCAGCUUUGAACCCAAUUCAACACUAGUCCUGUGAUUCCCUACCUUUCUAAUUUUGUAAAUAAGACAUUGUGAUUAAUUGUAUCGAGAACUCUUUUCAAAUCCAUGAAUACUGCAGCUGCCCACUUUCUGCUGUCUGUCGCAUUGGCAAUUUUCUUGGUAAUUUUGAUCAUUGCCACAGAAGUUGAAAUGUUAGCUCUGUAUUUGUAUUGCCUGUUUGUGAGUAAUUUAUUCUUAUUCAUACAAUUUUCCAACCUGUUGUUGUAGUGUCAAAUAAUAUUUUCUUGAACUCUGAAACUUUUGAGUUUGUUAAUCCUGAGAUGAGAUUAGUCAGACACAGUUUUAUGUAUUUUCAAACUAUUUGUGAAGAAAUUGUCUGGAAGAUGUCCCAAAGAACAGUACUGGAACUCUGCUCAUCAACCAGGAAGGUCCUGAACUAAGAAUUAACUUGAAUAUUUUUUGCCAGACAAAUGCAUUUAUUAAUAGACUACAACCAUAGAUCAGCAGCUAUGAAACUCCAUUGGAAUUGGUUAUUUACUUGGUGUUGAAACUUACCGCACCACUCCAGCUGGUUACUUGCAGCUUGUGACUAGCCUCACUUCACUAGGCACUCACAACACCUCAGGUGACUACCGAAGAAUAAAGCUACAUAUUGGAGUUAAGGCUAUAUGUUGGUAUUCCUUUUCAAUAUUGCUAUGUCGAAUCAAUGCACCCAGGAAGGAAGUUGCAGUAAAUGGACCAAAAUACAACAAAAUAUGGUAUUACAUGUAUUACAUUGUCACGGCAAAUCUGGCACUGUUUGGAAAAGCAAUUUUGGAAAAGCAAACUAGGUGAUUAGAGUGAUCUGAGUAAGUCAAUGAUUCCUGCAGCAUACACUACUCCGGAAUUUUGAUUUUAAAAGUGUAAAAAAAAAUAGCAAAUAGCAUGAAAUUCACAACCUUUCUUGAUAACGGUGCCAGAUCCAGACCCUGUCUGUACAAAAUAACACCUUAAAAACACAUUAGACAGUCAAAAGCCAUCAUUUUAACUACAGCAAAACAUGUAGUACUGAGCUGUCUGUUUUUAUAUCUUUAGAACGCACAGAAAAAAAGACGUGUUCAUGUCUCAUAUAAGGAUUGUCGCUGAUGGGCAAAAUUCCCAAAAGGUGCAAUUGUCCUGUUUAGGGUUUGAAGCACAGUACAUCCUAGGUUCCCAAAUUUGGGUACGCAUAACCCCAGGGGUACGCCAAUUGUAAUAGGAGAACUUGAAUGAAAAUUAAAAACAAUUCGCGUCUAAGGGUCACAAUUAGAGUGAGUCUGAGAACA